GAUACAUAAAUAAAAAGAUGCGACAGUGUUUCCAGAUUCUCAGGUUUAGUACCUGAACGUCUUUCCAGAACUAUCUCCCUAAGACCUCUCAAACCUAUAAAAGGUGCUGCUUUCCCAGCUGUCAGCAGUGGGUCCCACACUGUGGUGCUGGCCCACCACCCACAUGUGCCCUGUUACAUCUGCAGGCACCGAGUGGGGCUGCCCAGCAGGCAGCAUCAGCAUGGCUGCUGCUGGAACGGCCUUUUUAAAGGAUGAGGUUAGGAGGGCCCAAGGAUUCUGCUGCUUGUGGGAGCUGGGGAGGCGCUUGCUGUGCUGGGCCAGUUGUAAAUCCAAAUGCCAUGCAAGGUAGAGGAGCAGAGGUGACCCCCAAAGUCUGGUUGCUCGGUGGCAGCGGGAGGGGGGCAGAGUCUGGCACUUCUCCCUCCCUGCUGCUGCAGCGCGGCCUGGCAGGGCUGGAGCAGCUCUGGCUUAGGGUGGUGACUUUCUUCAGGCGCUUGAGUGGCGGAGGCCCUGUGGGUGCCACUGUCUCUCUGCCUUCUUCUGCUGCCAUCAGGCUUCUCUCUGGCCCAGCAGCUGCUCCCUGCAUGGCCUGGGCACCUGGGCUGCUGCACAGGUGUUUCUAGUUUAGAUCAGCCUGUGGGGCAGGGGCAGCCAAGGCUUUUGUCAGGGCAACUUUUCUCUUGCAUGUUCAAGCAGUUGUGGAUUAUCUCUCUUUAAGUAUGAAUGGCAGUAGAAGAGUAACUAACAAAAGCAAAGGAGAAGAGUUAGUUGCUAUCAAUUUAGGAUUGUUAUCAAUUUAGGACUUUAAGAUACCAGAACUAAGGCUUUUAAUUGCUGAAGACAAACAUGGUCUAUCAAUCAGUUAAUCGUACAGUUUAGAUUAAAAUAGGGUAUGUUAUACAUAUAUGGAAAUAAAUAAAUUCAUCAUAUCCUGAUUUAUUUAUCUUUCUGUUCCAUGGCUUCAAACUUGGAUACAACCCAAAUAUAUUUUAUCCUUAUUUCUACUACUCAGCAGUGCUACCUCUAAAAUACCUGGCAACAGCCAGAGAAAGAAAUGAAGAUCAGAACACGUACUGUCAUCGUCAUCUCUACUACCAAGGUUUAUUUUAUUGGAGCCUCCAUCCCUCCCACCAAAAUUGCAAGGGUUGCUUUAUGUGUAAAGCAACUGACGUACCUUCCUACAAGCAGCAAAUGCUUCUUCCUCUGCCAGGAAUUCAGGGACGGAGGAAGAUGUUUUGUAGGUGUUGGUUUUAAAAAUUCUGUGAAGAUGAAAAGGGAUAUCUUAUGGUUUUACAGAAUAUAGAGCAAGACUUCUGACAUGACGGCAAAAAAUGUUGGUGUGACUUCCACAAAUGGAGACUUGAAAGGAUUUAUAGAUCAGAACCAGAGUCCAA